UGGGUCAGCGACUUAUAUUCUGUAGCAAGGUUAACCGUAUAGGGGAGCCGGAGGGAAACCGAGUCUUAACCGGGCGUUAAGUUGCAGGGUAUAGACCCGAAACCCGGUGAUCUAGCCAUGGGCAGGUUGAAGGUUGGGUAACACUAACUGGAGGACCGAACCGACUAAUGUUGAAAAAUUAGCGGAUGACCUGUGGCUGGGGGUGAAAGGCCAAUCAAACCGGGAGAUAGCUGGUUCUCCCCGAAAGCUAUUUAGGUAGCGCCUCGUGAAUUCAUCUCCGGGGGUAGAGCACUGUUUCGGCUAGGGGGCCAUCCCGGCUUACCAACCCGAUGCAAACUGCGAAUACCGGAGAAUGUUAUCACGGGAGACACACGGCGGGUGCUAACGUCCGUCGUGAAGAGGGAAACAACCCAGACCGCCAGCUAAGGUCCCAAAGUCAUGGUUAAGUGGGAAACGAUGUGGGAAGGCCCAGACAGCCAGGAUGUUGGCUUAGAAGCAGCCAUCAUUUAAAGAAAGCGUAAUAGCUCACUGGUCGAGUCGGCCUGCGCGGAAGAUGUAACGGGGCUAAACCAUG
rnacentral:rRNA from 1 species